rnacentral:rRNA from 1 species
CUUCUUGAAGUGGAUUGGAAAUUGUACCUGCCCAUUGAAAUGUUUUUUAAAAGGCCGCGGUAUUUUGACCGUGCAAAGGUAGCAUAAUCAUUAGUUCUUUAAUUGAGGACUGGAAUGAAUGGUUUGACGAAAUAAUUACUGUCUCUUAUUUGUUUAUCAAAUUUUACUUUUAAGUUAAAAGGCUUAAAUUAGAAUCAGGGACGAGAAGACCCUAUAGAUCUUUACUAUGAUAAAAUGAUAAUAUUGUUUUAUUUUAUGGGUAUUUAUUUUUAAAUAGUUUUGUUGGGGUGAUGUAAGAAUAUAAUUAACUUCUUAUGAUUAAGACUUUGAUGAUUGGAGUGUGUUGAUCCUGUAAUAUGGAUUUAAGAUUAAGAUACCUUAGGGAUAACAGCGUUAUUUUAUUUGAGAGUUCUUAUUGACAAUAAAGAUUGCGACCUCGAUGUUGGAUUAAGAUAAUAUUUUGGUGCAGAAGCUAGAAAUUGUUAGUCUGUUC